UACGUAGGGCGCAAGCGUUAUCCGGAAUUAUUGGGCGUAAAGAGCUCGUAGGCGGUUCGUCGCGUCGGCUGUGAAAACCCGGAGCUCAACUCCGGGCCUGCAGUCGAUACGGGCGGACUCGAGUUCGGCAGGGGAGACUGGAAUUCCUGGUGUAGCGGUGAAAUGCGCAGAUAUCAGGAGGAACACCGGUGGCGAAGGCGGGUCUCUGGGCCGAUACUGACGCUGAGGAGCGAAAGCGUGGGGAGCGAACAGG
rnacentral:rRNA from 1 species